CACGUGGAGUAAAAAGAUGGAAAAAAACUCUCCGGUCUCGGGUACGGACCUGGAAUUAUAAACUAAAAGGUGUUUCCCUAUUUAAUAUAUGCAAGGAAGGCGUUCCGUUCUUUGACCAAUUAGAAACUUCCUCAA